rnacentral:tRNA from 1 species
UGUUCCGUGGUCUAGUUGGAUAAAGCGCCAGACUGGCGAAACAAAGUCGUGGGUUCAAAUCCCACCAAAACAA